AGCUUCGACGUCAGAAGUCUGAGCAUGCGCACGAGAGCGGGCCAUUCGCAUACAGCAACGCAAGAGGCCACAGCGCUAACAUGUCGGACAAGAAACAGACCGUGGACCUGGGUUUACUGGAGGAGGAUGACGAGUUCGAAGAAUUCCCAGCCGAGGAUUGGACGGGGCUGGAUGAAGAUGAAGACGCUCACGUUUGGGAAGACAACUGGGAUGAUGACAACGUAGAAGAUGAUUUCUCAAAUCAGCUGAGAGCGGAGCUGGAAAAACAUGGUUACAAAAUGGAGACAUCAUAGCGGCCGUCGCAGAAUCUGAUGACAGAGGACAUGGACAUUUAUAUUUGAAAAUUACUGGUUGACCGCACAUCACCAGAAGAUGUUUGACAAUGUGAAUUUGUUUUUUUUUUGUAAGAAGUGUGCAUAAAAAUAAACAGUUUGGACAAAAAUGGUUAA